rnacentral:rRNA from 1 species
UGGUCAAGUUAUUAAGGGUGCAGGGCGGAUGCCUUGGCACUAGGAGCCGAUGAAGGACGUGAUAAGCUGCGAUAAGCUUCGGGGAGUUGCACGUAAACUUUGAUCCGAAGAUUUCCGAAUGAGGAAACUCACUUAGAGUAAUGUCUAAGUAUCAUUAAGUGAAUACAUAGCUUAAUGAGGGGAACUCAGGGAACUGAAACAUCUAAGUACCUGAAGGAAGAGAAAGAAAUUCGAUUCCGUAAGUAGCGGCGAGCGAACGCGGAUUAGCCCAAACCAAUAAAGUUUUCUUUAUUGGGGUUGCGGACAUAUCAUAACGAAGAGGUAUCGUAAUUGAAGAGGUUUGGAAAGACCCACCACAGAAGGUAAUAGUCCUGUAUGUUAAACGAGAAGACUUCAGAUAUGAUCCAGAGUACCACGGGACACGUGAAACCCUGUGGGAAGCAGGAGGGACCACCCUCCAAGGCUAAAUACUACCUAGUGACCGAUAGCGUAUAGUACCGUGAGGGAAAGGUGAAAAGAACCCCGGGAGGGGAGUGAAAUAGAACCUGAAACCCUGCACUUACAAGCUGUGGAAGCACAUUUCUUGUGUGACCGCGUACUUUUUGUAGAACGGGCCAACGAGUUACGUUAAGUAGCAAGGUUAAGCACUUAAGGUGCGGAGCCGUAGCGAAAGCGAGUUUUAACUGAGCGUUCAGUUACUUGACGUAGACCCGAAACCGGGCGACCUACCCAUGAGCAGGAUGAAGCGAAAGUAAAAUUUCGUGGAGGUCCGAACCCACGAGCGUUGAAAAGCUCGGGGAUGACUUGUGGGUAGCGGUGAAAUUCCAAUCGAGCCCGGAGAUAGCUGGUUCUCCCCGAAAUAGCUUUAGGGCUAGCCUCAAGGUGAGAGAUACGGAGGUAGAGCACUGAAUGUCCUAGGGGGUAUUGCACCUACCGAAGACUAUCAAACUCCGAAUGCCGUCAUCUUAUACUUGGGAGUCAGACUGUGGGUGAUAAGAUUCAUAGUCGAAAGGGCAACAGCCCAGAUCGUCAGCUAAGGUCCCUAAAUGUAAGUUAAGUGGUAAAGGAUGUGGGAUUGCACAGACAACCAGGAUGUUGGCUUAGAAGCAGCCACUCAUUCAAAGAGUGCGUAAUAGCUCACUGGUCGAGUGAUCCUGCGCCGAAGAUUUCCGGGGCUAAAACUUACUACCGAAGCUACGGCAUCAGUAAUGAUGGGUAGGGGAGCUUCCCAUACGGGUUGAAGCAUGACCGUAAGGACAUGUGGACAGUAUGGGAGUGAGAAUGUUGGCAUGAGUAGCGAGAUGUGGGUGAGAAUCCCACAGGCCGUAAACCCAAGGUUUCCAGGGGAAGGUUCGUCCGCCCUGGGUUAGUCGGGACCUAAGCUGAGGCCGAAAGGCGUAGGUGAUGGACAACAGGUUGAUAUUCCUGUACUACCGAUAACCGUUUGAGAGAAGGGAUGACACAGUAGGAUAAGCUAAGCACACUGUUGGUUAUGUGUGCCCAAGCAUUGAGGCAGUCAAAGUAGGCAAAUCCGCUUUGAUAAUGCUGGGAUGUGAUGGGGAGCGAAAUUUAGUAGCGAAGUAGCUGAUUUCACACUGUCAAGAAAAGUCUCUAUCGAGGUUAAAGGUACCCGUACCGCAAACCGACACAGGUGGGUGAGGAGAGUAUCCUAAGGCCAGCGAGAGAACUGUUGUUAAGGAACUCGGCAAAAUGACCCCGUAACUUAGGGAUAAGGGGUGCCACCAUCAGGUGGCCGCAGAGAAUAGGCCCAAGCGACUGUUUACCAAAAACAUAGGUUUCUGCUAAGUCGCAAGACGAUGUAUAGGAGCUGACGCCUGCCCGGUGCUGGAAGGUUAAGGGGAUCUGUUAGAGCAAUCGAAGCAGUGAACUUAAGCCCCAGUAAACGGCGGCCGUAACUAUAACGGUCCUAAGGUAGCGAAAUUCCUUGUCGGGUAAGUUCCGACCCGCACGAAAGGCGUAACGAUUUGGGCACUGUCUCAACAACAGACUCGGUGAAAUUGUAAUUCCGGUGAAGAUGCCGGAUACCUGCGACAGGACGGAAAGACCCCAUGGAGCUUUACUGUAGCUUGACAUUGGGUCUUGGUACUACAUGUACAGGAUAGGUGGGAGGCUUUGAAACCAGGACGCCAGUUUUGGCGGAGCCAUCCUUGGGAUACCACCCUUGUAGUACUGGGACUCUAACCAUAGGCCAUGAAUCUGGUCUUGGGACACUGUCAGGUGGGCAGUUUGACUGGGGCGGUCGCCUCCCAAAAGGUAACGGAGGCGCUCAAAGGUUCUCUCAGUACGGUCGGAAAUCGUACGUAGAGUGUAAAGGCAAAAGAGAGCUUGAUUGCAAGACAUACAGGUCGAGCAAGGAUGAAAAUCGGACUUAGUGAUCCGGUGGUUCUGCGUGGAAGGGCCAUCGCUCAACGGAUAAAAGCUACCCUGGGGAUAACAGGCUUAUCUCCCCCAAGAGUCCACAUCGACGGGGAGGUUUGGCACCUCGAUGUCGGCUCAUCACAUCCUGGGGCUGUAGUAGGUCCCAAGGGUUGGGCUGUUCGCCCAUUAAAGUGGUACGCGAGCUGGGUUCAGAACGUCGUGAGACAGUUCGGUCCCUAUCCGUCGCAGGCGUAGGAAAUUUGAGAAGACCUGUCCUUAGUACGAGAGGACCGGGAUGGACGUACCUCUGGUGUACCAGUUGUCCUGCCAAGGGCAUGGCUGGG